GGCCUGAUGGUCUAGUAGUAUGAUUCCUUGUUAGGGCUUGCCACAUCGAGGAGGUCCCGGGUUCAAUUCCCGGUCAGGCCC